rnacentral:misc_RNA from 1 species
AAGUCGUAACAAGGUUUCCGUAGGUGAACCUGCGGAAGGAUCAUUAUCACGUAUCCACGUAACACCAAUUGUGAACUGUUUCCUUCUCCCUGCUGACUGCACAUGCAUUGGAACUUGUACAAGCUCUGAAUGGGACCUGAAAGGGUUAGCAUGGCAUGCCAUACCUGCUGGUAGCUUUGGCUACUGUCUGACAAUGGAAGUGCAGCACAGGUCGCUCCUCUCGCUCUUGACCAUCUCUUGGGCGAGUGGAAUUCUACACAUCAAUCACCCCCUUUUUGCUAGUUGACUUUUUUAAUGUUGGGCUUCUAUCAUUCAUUUGAUGGAUACUCACACGUUUCUUAAUUGAACGUAAAUUACAACUCUUAGCAAUGGAUAUCUAGGUUCUC